UAUUCCUUGCAUUUUACGGAUUGAGGUGUUCCAUUUAAGAUCCCAGACUGCAUCCAUGGUGAACUUCUAAAUUGGGAUGCCUGGAAGACUACCUCUUCCAUUCUUGCUGGGGCCACCUCUGGACCACUAGAGAACACCUGUGCCUUACGGUCACAUUUCAACCACAACAUUGUGGUGAAGCUGGACUUGUUCCACUGCCUGAGGCGUUUUUUUACGUUAAAUGUGCCAACAGUAUAAUACUGUAAAUAGUAAAGGAUUAUGGGAAAAUAUAAGUUUAGUACUGUAAAUAUUCUCUACUAUAAAUCGAUUUACAGUAGCGACAAUGCCCGCGAAAAAACUGACCAAUGACAAUGGAGACUUCUUUUCAAGGUUUUUUUUUUUUCGGUUGGGACAACUGAGGAAAGACUCGACAAAAAGGUGUCUUAACGUCGGAGGUGUGUUCAUUACUGGCGGUUACCAUCAUCUGAGGAAACUGGAAGCUACCAUCAAUUCAGUGAGGAAAAGCUGUUUUUUUGCUGUUAGAACGUCGGAGGUGUCUUGGAGUUCUUUCCUGGUGACUGUUCCUGGUGGUUAAUGUUACCGUCAUCUGAGAAAAAUGCAGAUGCAGAGAGAAGCCUCUCUCUGCCCAGUACCCCAAGACUGAUUGCACUUGGUAUGGUUUACUGGAAGUCUGUCAGUCCAGAUGUGAGGAAGACACACAGAGUGGAGCUGGAGCUCAGCAGAUGUGUGAUGCUGUAGAUACUGUGGUCUUCACAGCUUUCUAUUCAGACAAAGAAAACAGAAGUUUGCUGGGUUCUGUUCUAUGGACUGCUACUACAGAAUGAAUGAAUUAAUGAAUGAGUGGUUUAUCUAUCUAUCUUUAUCUAUCUAUCUUUUUACUUGUAUUGUUGACUGAAACUGAAAGCUAAAUAAA